CCUACGGGAGGCAGCAGUGGGGAAUAUUGCACAAUGGGGGAAACCCUGAUGCAGCGACGCCGCGUGAAGGAAGAAGUAUUUCGGUAUGUAAACUUCUAUCAGCAGGGAAGAAAAUGACGGUACCUGACUAAUAAGCCCCGGCUAACUACGUGCCAGCAGCCGCGGUAAUACGGAGGGGGCAAGCGUUAGCCGGAUUUACUGGGUGUAAAGGGAGCGUAGACGGCAUGGCAAGUCAGGUGUGAAAGGCAGGGGCUCAACCACUGGACUGCAUUGGAAACUGUCAGGCUGGAGUGCAGGAGAGGUAAGUGGAAUUCUUGGUGUAGGGGUAAAAUGCGUAGAUAUUAGGAGGAACACCAGUGGCGAAGGCGACCUGCUAGACUGUAACUGACGUUGAGGCUCGAAAGCGUGGGGAGCAAACAGGAUUAGAUACCCGAGUAGUC
rnacentral:rRNA from 1 species